UACAGAGGGUGCGAGCGUUAAUCGGAAUUACUGGGCGUAAAGCGUGCGUAGACGGUAGCGUAAGUCAGAUGUGAAAGCCCCGGGCUCAACCUGGGAACUGCAUUUGAGACUGCUCUGCUCGGGUGCGGAAGAGGGAAGCGGAAUUUCCGGUGUAGCGGUGAAAUGCGUAGAUAUCGGGAGGAACACCUGUGGCGAAAGCGGCGCACUGGACCACAACUGACGCUGAGGCGCGAAAGCUAGGGGAGCAAACAGG
rnacentral:rRNA from 1 species